GAGGGUAUAGCUCAAGUGUUAGAGCACAUGCUUAGCAUGCACAAGGUCCUGGGUUCAAUCCCUAGUACUUCUG
rnacentral:tRNA from 1 species